GUCAAAACAAAGAGUGAUGGAAGGUAUAGGAACUUUGUUUUAUGACACACCCAAAAAUACAAAUUUGAGUGUAAAUUUCAAGGAAAGCACGACAUUUAGAAGCCUAAGUACAACUCCAAACAUAUUGCUUUACUUGCUUUUGUAUUGGUUAUUUCAGUGUAUGUGUUUGACACCAAUGUUGUUUGACAGGUUAUAGCUGUUUCUCCCACAACUACUGUGUGCUUCUAAAUCGUGUGUUGGAUUCCUCUAGAUCAGUGGUUCUCAAUCUUUUUAGGGCCAGCGCCCCCCAAGUGCAGGUCCCAUACCGGCCCCCACCAAAAAAUGGGCCUUUAUUAUUAAUAAAUAUAAUUAUUAUUAUUAUCAUCAUCAUCAUUAAAAAGGCAAGGCAGUCCAUUAUAAUCAGUGAUACUGUCUCCCCUUGAUGCAGAUGCCCUGUUCAUUUUCUACUCCAUGCGCUUGUGCCACCUCUGACAACAGGACAAAUGGAUUUGCAAUAUUCCCUUUGAAAUGUCCUCGGAUGCACCCAGUGUGAACACAAAAUGUUGCAGGCCAUAUUCUUUUGCAAGUAAUUACAAAUUUCAGCUUGCCUCAUCAAACAUCUUUGGUAUAAACUUGCCUUAAUGCCAAAAAUAUUGCUUCCAGCGCCCCCCAGUGUUCUCUCAAUGUCUCUAUUGAGAAAUGCUGUUCUUGAUCAUGACCAGUUUUGACAUGAAACGAAACCAAAAGAAAAUCAAUUCAAGACCUUUUUUUUUUUUUUUUUUUUUUA